GCGCCCGUAGCUCAGCUGGAUAGAGCGUUGGCCUCCGGAGCCAAAGGUCAGAGGUUCGAAUCCUCUCGGGCGUACCA
rnacentral:tRNA from 1 species